UAACACGUGGGGAACCUGCCCCAUAGUCUGGGAUACCACUUGGAAACAGGUGCUAAUACCGGAUAAGAAAGCAGAUCGCAUGAUCAGCUUUUAAAAGGCGGCGUAAGCUGUCGCUAUGGGAUGGCCCCGCGGUGCAUUAGUUAGUUGGUAAGGUAAAGGCUUACCAAGGCGAUGAUGCAUAGCCGAGUUGAGAGACUGAUCGGCCACAUUGGGACUGAGACACGGCCCAAACUCCUACGGGAGGCAGCAGAG
rnacentral:rRNA from 1 species